rnacentral:rRNA from 1 species
GAUGAACGCUGGCGGCGUGCCUAACACAUGCAAGUCGAACGGAGAUUACGGACGGAAGUUUUCGGAUGGAAGACUGUAAUUCUUAGUGGCGGACGGGUGAGUAACGCGUGGGCAACCUGCCCUAUACAGGGGGAUAGCAGCUGGAAACGGCUGGUAAGACCGCAUAAGUCGGUUAAAUCGCAUGAUUUGAUCGGGAAAUGAGCAAUCAGGUAUAGGAUGGGCCCGCGUCCGAUUAGCCAGUUGGCAGGGUAAAAGCCUACCAAAGCGACGAUCGGUAGCCGGACUGAGAGGUCGGACGGCCACAUUGGGACUGAGACACGGCCCAAACUCCUACGGGAGGCAGCAGUGGGGGAUCUUGCACAAUGGAGGAAGCUCUGAUGCAGCGACGCCGCGUGAGUGAAGAAGUAUUUCGGUAUGUAAAGCUCUAUCAGCAGGGAAGAUGAUGACGGUACCUGACGAAGAAGCCCCGGCUAACUACGUG